AGUGAACGCUGGCGGUAGGCCUAACACAUGCAAGUCGAACGGCAGCACAGAGGAGCUUGCUCCUUGGGUGGCGAGUGGCGGACGGGUGAGGAAUACAUCGGAAUCUACUCUGUCGUGGGGGAUAACGUAGGGAAACUUACGCUAAUACCGCAUACGACCUACGGGUGAAAGCAGGGGAUCUUCGGACCUUGCGCGAUUGAAUGAGCCGAUGUCGGAUUAGCUAGUUGGCGGGGUAAAGGCCCACCAAGGCGACGAUCCGUAGCUGGUCUGAGAGGAUGAUCAGCCACACUGGAACUGAGACACGGUCCAGACUCCUACGGGAGGCAGCAGUGGGGAAUAUUGGACAAUGGGCGCAAGCCUGAUCCAGCCAUACCGCGUGGGUGAAGAAGGCCUUCGGGUUGUAAAGCCCUUUUGUUGGGAAAGAAAUCCAUCUGGUUAAUACCCGGGUGGGAGGACGGUACCGUAAGAAUAAGCACCGGCUAACUACGUGCCAGCCGCCGCCGUAA
rnacentral:rRNA from 1 species